NNNNNNNNNNNNNUUUGAGGAAGCCUUCCCCAAAACCAGAGAAUACUGAGUGGCAGGGAGUGUGGAGAGGCUUGGGAGAGACUGUAGAGAGACGGACAUCUUCGGUGUCAUGGAACUUCACUCCUGAACACCUGAAAGACCCUGAGAGCUUAAAUGCAUAUUUGAAACAGGAAUGUUGCGGCUCAUGCAGAUCUGAGGAGCCACAAAUGAUUUGGUGCCUAGCUAAUGCUUAUCGGGCCUUAUUCAAUAGUAUCCCAGAGAGGGAGAGAGUUUGUGAAAUUGAGAGAGUGUCUGAGAGCUGAAAGGGAGAGUUUGCAGGAGAGACUCCGAGCAGAGAGGGAGAAUCUCCAAGCUGAGAGAGAGAGUCUCCAAGCAGAAAGGGAGAGUUUGCAGGUGAGACUUCGAGCAGAGAGGGAGAAUCUCCAGGCUGAGAAAGAAAGUCUCCAAGCCGAAAGGGAAAAUCUUCAAACUGAGAGAAGGGAUCUCCAAUCUCAACAAGAUGCCCUCCAAAUCGAGAGAGACUCCCUGCAAUCCAAACUCGUCACUCUCCAGUCUGAAUGGGACACCGUCCAAACUGAGAGAAACACCCUUCAAUCUGAACUGAAUGCUCUCAUGAUUGAAAAAGACAGACUCCAAGCCGAACUGGAGGGUGAGAGCAUUGGAACUGACCAACCUGAUCAACCACAGGAGGCACCACAAUUGAUAUCAGUUGCCCCUGUGAGAGGACGGAAAAUGAAACGAAUCUCAACUCAGUUAGAAGAGAAGAAAGAGGAGCAAAGAGGUCCAGAGGAGUGGCUCCGAGAUCCAGGGGAAGCGCCCCCGAGUCCAGGGGAGGGACCCUCAGUCAGACCACGGUCACCAAUGCCUAUAAGGGCAUCAAGGAGUCCUGAAAGAGUAAGAGGUGAGCAAGAUAUUGUUACCAUUGUUGAUCGAUCUCUGAAAAUGAAUGAAAUUCGAAGUCUGAGAAAAGACUUUUCACGUCACCCAAAUGAACCUAUUGCCACUUGGUUACUUCGUUGCUGGGACAAUGGGGCCAACAGUGUGUGGCUAGAUAGUAGAGAAGCUCGCCAGCUGGGUGGCAUUGCUAGGGACUCAGCCAUUGACAGAGGCAUUAGUACAUGCCAGAACCAGGCCUUCACCCUCUGGAAGAGGAUGUUGUUAGCUGUAAAAGAAAGAUACCCCUUCAAAGACGAUCUGAUGCCUGAGAAAAAGAAAUGGACUGAUAUAGAAAAAGGCAUCCGUUAUUUGAGAGCAUAUGCUGUGGUGGAAAUGCUACAUAGCCCUGAUUUCAUUCCUGAUGAGCCGGAUCAAGAGCAUGAUCCUGAGAGAGUCAGGUGUACACCAAAUAUGUGGCGUACAUUCACAAAGACUGCACCAGAAAGGUACGCCAGUACAUUUGCAGCAAUGUAUGGCAGAGGGGAAAGAAGACCCCUUAUAAACGAACUGAUUAAUAAACUUCAAGACUUUGAGUUACAUUUAAGCCCGCUGCGAGCUUGUGUUUCAGCCAUCGCAAAAGUAGCUGAGAAGCUGAACAGAAUGGAAAACAAACAAGAAGAUAUGAAGAAGUGGCAUAAACAACCUACUCCUGCACUUCAAGCACGGGUAAA
ensembl:lncRNA